rnacentral:rRNA from 1 species
AUGUUCCAUGUUUCGGUGCAGAAGGUCAGACGUGUUUGGAGGAGAGUGAAGGAGUGCCUUCGACAAGGCAUACCCGUUGAUGUAAGAUCAAGGAAGCCGAAAAACUGUGGGCGCAAAAGGAUUGUAGUUGACCUCAGUAUGGUUCCUGAGAUUCCUCGCAGCCAAAGGAGAACUAUACGCAGUCUUGCAAGAGCUUUGGGUGUGAAGAAAAGCACACUACAUAGGAUGUUUACGGACGGCUUGCUCGAUAGGCAUUCAAGCUCACUCAAACCAUAUUUGAAGGAAGCAAACAAAAAGGCUAGGAUGCGGUUUUGUCUCUCUAUGUUUGACCAACAAAGUUUGCAAAAUAGGCCGACGUUCAAAGAUAUGCGUAACAUAAUACAUAUAGAUGAAAAGUGGUUUAACACCACUCAAAAGACUAUGAAAUUCUACAAGCUGCCAUCGGAAGAAGAGCCACAUAGGACCGUGCAAAAUAAGAACUCCAUUGGCAAAAUAAUGUUUUUGGUUGCUAUAGCCAGGCCUAGAUACAAUGCAGAAGGUAUUUGCAUUUUGAUGGGAAGAUAG